CGUAAUCAACCUGCCCUUCAGAGGGGGACGAACAGUUGGAAACGACUGCUAAUACCGCAUACGAUCCAACCUCGGCAUCGAGGAUGGAUGAAAGGUGGCCUCUAUUUAUAAGCUAUCACUGAAGGAGGGGAUUGCGUCUGAUUAGCUAGUUGGAGGGGUAACGGCCCACCAAGGCAAUGAUCAGUAGCCGGUCUGAGAGGAUGAACGGCCACAUUGGGACUGAGACACGGCCCAAACUCCUACGGGAGGCAGCAUG
rnacentral:rRNA from 1 species